GCCCAGCUAACUCAGUCGGUAGAGCAUGAGACUUUUAAUCUCAGAGUUGUGGGUUCAUGCCCCACAUUGAGUG
rnacentral:tRNA from 1 species